rnacentral:lncRNA from 1 species
CAGAAAGGGAGAAACUGAAUAUGUAGAGCAGAGGGAAUUGAAUGCAGGGAAUGUGUUACUUAUCUGGGUAAUGAAAGUGCCAAGAAAGUCUGGGAUAGUGGAGGAACCCAGAGGUUCACGGCAGGAAGUCCUUCAACAAAGGGACAAAGAGAAGAGGUGAUGUUAUCAGAGUGCAGGUCCCGGUACCAUCUGAGGAGAACCGGAACCAAGACAGGAGCUGCCCAAGGGAGACUGAGACCAUAGAAAAGGGGGUGCCUGGUGUGAGUGGAAGACACAAGGGGAUCUUCAGCCUUUGGGCAGGUGUAUCUCCAGGGUCUUACAACAGCAACUGGCUCAUCACGGGUAUUCAGGAUGGCUGACAAAGUCUGGAAGACACUGAAUUCCAGCCUCAGGAGUAUUUUUCAUCUGUAUGCUCCCUGUUGUGGCUAAUAAAAAAACGUGUGUUUUCA